AUGAACGCUUUCUGCGUGCCUCAUACAUGCAAGUCGAACGCUGGAGAUCUAGCUUGCUAGAUCGAAGGAGUGGCGAACGGGUGAGUAAUACAUAAGCAACCUACCCACGAAGACUGGGAUAAUCUCUGGAAACGGGGACUAAUACCGGAUAGGUAAUCGGAAGGCAUCUUCUGGUUAUUAAAGGUUAAAAACACUGGUGGAUGGGCUUAUGGCGCAUUAGUUAGUUGGUGAGGUAACGGCCCACCAAGACGAUGAUGUGUAGCCGGCCUGAGAGGGUGAACGGCCCCAUUUGGACUGCGACACCGCCCCCACUCCUACGGGAGGCAGCAGUAGGGAAUUUUCAGCAAUGGGGGCAACCCUGACCGAGCAACGCCGCGUGAGUGAAGACCGCCUUCGGGUUGUAAAGCUCUGUUGUAAGGGAAGAACGGUAGAUAGAGAAUAUCUAAGUGACGGUACCUUACCAGAAAGCCACGGCUAACUACGUG
rnacentral:rRNA from 1 species